CAGCUGUUCUCCAAUGCAUCCUUGUCUUUACGCAUUUUCAUUUUCUUUCUUUCUUUCUCGUUGUAGCAUUAUCUUUCUCAUUUUUACAGGCCUCCUGUUUUUCCUUGCGAUUAUUUAUCUUGCGUGUGACUUUACGAGAGAAUUGACCAUUUGAGAGUUACUUGUAAGUCUUAAGAGAUUUCUGACGCAAGUUGGAGCGGCAAACUUGGGAUGGGUAAAACGCAGAAAAGAAUAAUCUUUUUGAUCGUUUGAAAAAUAAUUUUGCGUGAGUGUUAUACCUGAUGUUAUACACUGAUAUAACGAAAUAUAGUAUAUUUAUAGAUAUAGUACAUUUUUGUCAAUAUAUGCGUCCCUAACAACGAAUGGUUUAUUAUCAGGUAUUUUGCAUAAUUUCCGAUCUAGAGAUAAAUUAGUAACGAUGUUUGGAAUGUGUACGUAAAUGUAAACGACGAAAUUCCGUGAGUACACAACAGCCGCGUUGGCGCGUGCGUUAUGAAUUUUGUUCGUUAUUCACUCGAUGCGCGUUUAUUGCAAAAAUCGCUCGAGAUAAACGUCGUAGUGUAUUGCGCCGGGAAUGUCGCUAAAUUUUGUGGAUUUUCUGGGUAAUUGGUUAUAGAGACGCCAAGAGAAAAUUAGGGUUUACGCUUAUUUCUAUAAAACAUUGUACAAUAUAAUGCCGUAAUUAUGACUUGUUAAUAAUAAAUGGCCUAUCAUGUACGUCAAUAUUGAUGUGAUAUUGCAACGACACAUUUGUGUACGUAUUAAAGUGAGACUUGAGCAGCUCUCGUUGCUCCUACUCGGCUUGUGCGUUAAGAAAAUUGGGGAAAAAGCGUUAAUAUCGAUGACGUAAGAUUCGCGAGUCCGCCUGAUUCUUUCCUUCCACGACAUUAACCGCAGGGAGAAGUCGCUGAGACUGGGAUUGGAAAACGUUACACCAUGAUCCGGGCGCGCGCGGCUAGAGCGGCCGAAGCGACUAGAGCUUGAGUCAUAGAAUGAAUCAUGCGUUAUCCUCCAUCCGCGCCUUACACAUUCUUACGGAAUGCAUCUCUCCUCUACGUCGAUACGCCAUUUACAGCAAUGCGUGGUCGAAUUCCUUUUUGCACGUAAAGCUGGAUAAUUCGUCGACAAUUUUUUUUGUUCCGCUUGCUUGAUCAAAUUAACGCAUACAUAUCGUACGCACGUACGUUAAUUCGGCACCACGCGAACGGAUUCGUGCAUCGUACAGGAGUUGACAGAUGAUAAAUUAUUAAUCGUGUGACCACUGCGGAUAGGAUCACUCUGUUUUCGACAGCGACGCACCAAUUUAUUAUGUUUGAGUGCUGCCACACGGAUACCGAUAUGCAUGACUUGUCGACGUAAAAAUCGAGAUAAUCGGAAUUGCAUUGUCUUGUACAGUGUUAUUAUUACAACAUUGGGCGGCAUCGAUUUUGGAAAAAAAAUUGUUAAGUAGUUCCAAUUAAGAUUGGAAGAUCGGAAAGGUGCUCCGUCGAGCAUUUCAGAAGCUUGCAUAUUUUUAAUUAAGAUUGCUCUUGUCUCAAUUAAUCCUGUACGUGCAAUUGUAUUAUGUAUAUAAAAUUCUAUUUACUCGAAUUAUAAUAUUCUGUAAAUAAACAACUUUUUGCCAUACCUUUUUCGUGCUUUCUGCUUUUGUGUUGAGCCCGCACGAUUUUGCGCAUCCGGUCACGCGAAUGUUCGUCCCGGCCGCGGAACGCGCUAUACAAACGAAAUAUAAUAUAAUGAAAGAAGAGUAUCGCACAAGGCAUAACAAAAUAUAAAAACAUAGCGAUAUCGUAUUGAGUUACGUAUCGUAAAACUGUUAAAAACGUUACAAGGUAUUUCCAUGUAACUUAUCGUUGACGAAAAAAGAAUAACAAAAAUGAAAAGAUGCAAACGUAAUUAAAGCUACAAGAACGGUUUGAUUAAAUUUGGAAAAUUGUGGUAAAAUCAUGUUGCAAUUUUCAGUCGAACCGUUUCACGAACAAAGAGAUACCUGAUAUUCGUUUUGCACGCGAUAAUCGGUACGUGUACGCGGCCGUGGUUCGCUACGCGUCGCUACGUCGCCUCGCAAGGUCUCGACCUUGCGCGAAUAUGAUCUUUCGCUUCGAAGAAGAGGAGGCUUCUCGUUGUAGCGGCGAAAAGUCUCGAGCGCGCGCUCUCGCUCGAUAACGGAGAUCUUCUUUGAGGUUAGAAGGCAGGCAUGUGAAGCGCUCAAGUGAGUUUCCCAUGCCGCGUGGCAACGUCGUACGACCGUAGUGAAACUCCGGGGAUCGAGGUACGAAGAGGCCGAGGUGGAUGAGCGCGGCGGGAAGAGACUCAACGAAGACGAAGAGGACGAAGAAGCCGAAGAAGCGAUGACCACGCGUGCGAGGCACAGGGGAACGGGGGAAGCCACGUGGACCGACCACGAAGAAGCAACUUACGGCGACGCAUGGCCGCUACUUGAAGGACGGAAAGGUGGAAGAGCAUCCUUUGGAACCGGUCCGUCUUCUCGGAGCUUGUUCCGAGCUGCGGUGCCAGGUGAAGCCAGAACGCGAGCCUUCGCGUCGCUUCUCGUCCUGGCGUGUCUUUGUGCAUCUCGAUAGACUCAAAUGUACCAGCAUACGGUCGAUCGCAACAGUGCGAUCGAACGAUUGUUAUCGAUUUCAUGAAAGAAAGAAAGAAAGGAAGGAAAACAUAAUUCUUCA
rnacentral:lncRNA from 1 species